AUUGAACGCUGGCGGCAGGCCUAACACAUGCAAGUCGAGCGGGAACUUCGGUUCUAGCGGCGGACGGGUGAGUAAUGCGUAGGAAGCUACCCGAUAGAGGGGGAUACCAGUUGGAAACGACUGUUAAUACCGCAUAAUGUCUACGGACCAAAGUGUGGGACCUUCGGGCCACAUGCUAUCGGAUGCGCCUACGUGGGGUUAGCUAGUUGGUGAGGUAAUGGCUCACCAAGGCGACGAUCCCUAGCUGGUUUGAGAGGAUGAUCAGCCUCACUGGAACUGAGACACGGUCCAGACUCCUACGGGAGGCAGCAGUGGGGAAUAUUGGACAAUGGGCGAAAGCCUGAUCCAGCCAUGCCGCGUGUGUGAAGAAGGCCUUCGGGUUGUAAAGCACUUUCAGCGAGGAGGAAGGAGUUGUAGUUAAUAGCUGCAACUUUUGACGUUACUCGCAGAAGAAGCACCGGCUAACCCUGUGCCAGCAGCCGCCGUAAAAC
rnacentral:rRNA from 1 species